rnacentral:rRNA from 1 species
GUGGGGGAUAUUGCACAAUGGGGGAAACCCUGAUGCAGCGACGCCGCGUAAGGGAAGAAGGCCUUCGGGUUGUAAACCUUUGUUUUCGGUGACGAAAGAAAUGACGGUAGCCGAAGAGGAAGCUCCGGCUAACUACGUGCCAGCAGCCGCGGUAAUACGUAGGGAGCGAGCGUUGUCCGGAAUUACUGGGUGUAAAGGGUGCGUAGGCGGGGCUGCAAGUUGGAUGUGAAAUACCGGGGCUUAACCCCGGGGCUGCAUCCAAAACUGUAGCUCUUGAGUGAAGUAGAGGCAGGCGGAAUUCCGAGUGUAGCGGUGAAAUGCGUAGAUAUUCGGAGGAACACCAGUGGCGAAGGCGGCCUGCUGGGCUUUUACUGACGCUGAGGCACGAAAGCAUGGGGAGCAAACAGGAUUAGAAACCCUAGUAGUCC